rnacentral:rRNA from 1 species
GAUGAACGCUGGCGGUGUGCCUAAUACAUGCAAGUCGAGCGAAUGGAUUGAGAGCUUGCUCUUAUGAAGUUAGCGGCGGACGGGUGAGUAACACGUGGGUAACCUGCCCAUAAGACUGGGAUAACUCCGGGAAACCGGGGCUAAUACCGGAUAACAUUUUGAACCGCAUGGUUCGAAAUCGAAAGGCGGCUUCGGCUGCCACUUAUGGAUGGACCCGCGUCGCAUUAGCUAGUUGGUGAGGUAACGGCUCACCAAGGCAACGAUGCGUAGCCGACCUGAGAGGGUGAUCGGCCACACUGGGACUGAGGCACGGCCCAGACUCCUACGGGAGGCAGCAGUAGGGAAUCUUCCGCAAUGGACGAAAGUCUGACGGAGCAACGCCGCGUGAGUGAUGAAGGCUUUCGGGUCGUAAAACUCUGUUGUUAGGGAAGAACAAGUGCUAGUUGAAUAAGCUGGCACCUUGACGGUACCUAACCAGAAAGCCACGGCUAACUACGUGCCAGCCGCCGCAGUAA